rnacentral:misc_RNA from 1 species
AAAUAUUUCGAGAAAACGUGGGCUGGUGGUCGCUAACUGCGUUUUAAAGCUGAAAUCAACCAGGCGUUUCAAGUGUUAGAGACCAGGCUCCCAGUAUCUGAUUAUAUUUUGGCCCACAAUACAUUUCGAUCUCGACAUUCUUUCGUUCCCGAUGCAUUUUGGGGUUGGGAGACGCGCUGUCCCUAAUGGCAUGUGCCCAACACGAGUACGUCAUUUGGUUUUCCGGCGUUUCUCCAUUUUAAGGGCAAUUUUUUUAGCAAAAAUUUUUCCUGUUCUGAUCUCUGUCUCGCAGGGUUUGUUCUUUUGUGUUGAUCUUUGUUCGUCGAGCUGUCUACAAAAUGAGGGGAUGGUGUGUAAAUGAGAGGUGUCACUCAGUGUCAUGUCGUCUUUGAGCCUUCUUGAUUUUUUGGAACAAAUGGGUGACUAUCCAAGACCUUUCAGUAGAUUUGAUGUCGCGGAUGAUGACGAUGAUGAUGAAGAAGAAGAAGAUGGAAUACCUAAAAUCAGGAUUGGAAUCUGUGCCAUGAGUAAAAAGACUAACUCGCAGCCUAUGCAAGAGAUUCUGGGUCGUAUGAGUGCAUUUGAUUGUGUGGAUAUCUUUGUUUUUCCUGAUGACACCAUCGUGAACAUCCCAGUUGAGGAAUGGCCCAUCUGUGACUGCCUGAUUUCAUUUUACUCUAAAGGAUUUCCUCUUGAGAAAGCUAUCGAGUAUGCCAAGCUAAGGAAGCCGUUUAGUCUUAACGACCUAGAGAUGCAGUUUGCGUUACUGGACAGACCAACAAUGUACAGUCUUCUAGAGAGUGCAGGAAUAGAAACACCAAGACACGCAAUUUUGCUGCGAGAUGAAGACGGAAAUCCUAUAAACACAAAAUUUGUUGAACUAGAUGAUUCAGUGCAGAUAGGUGAUGUGGUGUUCCAAAAACCCUUUGUUGAGAAACCAGUGAGUGCAGAGGACCAUAACGUGUACAUAUAUUACCCCUCAGGAGCUGGCGGCGGGAGCCAGAGAUUGUUCAGAAAGGUUGGGAAUAGAAGUAGUGUGUACUCAGCUGAGAGCUCAGUACGGAAAGAAGGGUCAUACAUCUAUGAAGAUUUUGUAGUCACUGAUGGAACAGAUGUGAAGGUGUACACUGUUGGCCCAGAGUAUGCUCAUGCUGAAGCCCGCAAGUCUCCCUCACUGGAUGGAAAAGUUGAAAGGGACAGCCAAGGGAAAGAGAUACGUUACCCAGUUAUUCUCAACCAGUAUGAGAAAGAACUAGCAAACAAAGUCUGCAAACUGUUCAAGCAAACGGUCUGUGGUUGUGACUUGCUCCGCACCCAUGGCAAGUCAUAUGUUUGCGAUGUCAAUGGCUUUAGCUUUGUCAAGACCUCCAAGAAGUACUACGAUGAUGCUGCACAAGUGUUAAUGAGUCUUAUUGUACAAGAACUAGCUCCUCAGUUGUACAAACCAUAUGAUCUAGAUGUGCAAGAGGAAAUUCCUACUGUUGAAGCUUUGGAAGGUACCAUGCUGGAGUUAAGGUGUGUGGUUGGAAUCAUCAGACAUGGUGACCGAACUCCAAAACAGAAAAUGAAAAUGGAAGUGAGACAUCCAAGAUUUAUCGAGCUGUUUAAGAAGUACAAUGGCUUUAAUGAACAAAAGCUCAAGCUCAAGAGACCAACUCAGUUGCAAGAGGUGUUGAAUAUUGCCAGAGAUUUGCUAGCUGACAUCAAGGAGGGGAAGCCAGUGUUUGAAAGUCGUAACAAAAUCCACCAACUCAAAAGUGUUUUAGAAAUGUAUGGUUAUUUCUCUGGAAUCAACCGAAAAAUUCAGUUCAAAUACCUUGGUAAACCUAGAGAUGGAAAUGAAAGUGAGAGCAGUGAAAGUCGCCAGAGCAGUGAAAGUCGAGAUUCAGGAUCAGAUGAAAGAAGUGGAAAAAAGAAACAAGGAAAGGAAUCAAAAAACAAGCAAGCAGAGGCUAACGAUGAGAAAGAAGUGAAGAGGAAGGAAAGUAAAGAAACUAAAACUCAAGGAAGUGAAGAACCAAAAGAGACUGAGGAGGUUGAUCAGAAAGGAAGUGAAGACAAACUGGCAGUUCCUGUUGACAAGGAUCAUUCUUUGUUGUUGAUUGUUAAGUGGGGUGGAGAAUUGACCACCAUGGGAAAGGAACAGGCACUACAGCUGGGACGUGCCUUCAGGAGUAUGUACCCUGGCGGCCAAGGACAGUAUUCUAAAAUGUCAGGUAUUGGUCUGCUGCGACUUCACAGUACUUACAGACAUGAUUUGAAGAUUUAUGCAUCAGAUGAGGGACGAGUGCAAAUGACAGCUGCUGCCUUUGCAAAGGGCUUCCUGGCUCUCGAAGGUGAACUGACACCUGUUCUUGUGCAUCUUGUACGAAGUGAUAAGAAUACUACAGAGAUGCUUGACACCUCCAAUGAUGCUGCCAAGAUACUGGGAAAGGUGAAACACAGACUUCAUGAAAUUCUUCACUCUAAUGAGGAUUUCAAAGAGGAGGAUUUUGCCAAGCUUGCACCAACCAAGUCUCGUUCUGUGAUCAAUGCUAUGAAUUUUGUCAAGAAUCCUUACAAAAUGUGUGAAAAGCUCUAUAACCUGGUGCACAAUCUUACAGGACAGCUGAAGGACAUGAUUGCUCAGAAGGAUUUUGAUCCAAGAGCUCCAUUUCUGUACCAUGAUGAAACGCUGGAGUUAAUGAUGCACAGAUGGACAAAACUAGAAAAGGAUUUCAAGCUGAAAAGUGGGCAGUUUGAUAUAAGUCUUAUUCCAGACAUCUACGACUGUAUCAAGUAUGAUGUGCAGCAUAAUAGUCAACUGGGUCUCACAAACAGUCUGGAUUUGUACAAAUGCGCCAAGGCUUUUGCAGACAUUGUUAUUCCACAGGAAUAUGGGAUUACAACAGAUGAGAAGUUAGCUAUUGCUCAAAGAGUCUGUGUGAGACUUUUAAGGAAGAUCAGAGGAGAUCUGCGGCAUGCUGAUAAGUCUGACAUCCACACUCGUCUCAAUCCCAAUUACUCACAGAGUGUAGAAACACCGCAUCGUCAUGUUCGGACUCGAUUGUACUUCACUAGCGAGAGUCAUGUACACACCGUGCUGAAUGCUUUUAGGCAUGGAAAGCUCUUUGAGGAUAUUCCAAAUGACCAGUGGCGGAGAGCAGUAGAAUUCUUAGCUGAGGUUCCAGAGUUGAACUACAUGACUCAGCUGGUGCUUCUGUUGUAUGAAGAUCCUAAAGCUGACCCUCUGUCCGAGAACCGUUUUCAUGUGGAAAUGCAUUUCAGCCCUGGAGCAAAGACCAUGGAUGAUCCCGAGUUCUUGGCAAGGAAUUCUCCCACAAGGAAACGCAGUGUAGAGGACGUGAGACAUGCCGGUGCUUGUAAGCCUGCGCAUGGCAUUGAUGUAGGAACCGCUGGUAAGAUGAGCCAAGUCAAUGAAAAUCAAGUGGUGGGUGUUGGCCAGGACAGUCAGGAUGUCCUUAAUGAUUCUCUCUCUGCAGCUGCAUCAGUUGGUGGUCUUGAAACUUCGUCUCAAGUUGUAUCCACCAGCUCAAAUCCUGAGCAUUCUAAGAGCGUGGAAAGAGAACAGGAAGUUACUGGGGGCUAUGCUGGAAACUCGCAGAGCCCAGAGCUUAAUUCCACCGAAGAGGAACCGUCUGAAAGCGGAGAUUUCGAGGCUUUCGAUGACAAACCGUUUGAUGACACCGUUUAUGCUGGCAAUGAACGGCCACGAUGUUCAAUUGGAAUUGAUGACUACUCAGACUCUGCCAUCGGAGCAAGCAGCGGAGAUAGUGCUGUUUCCUCAGGUACAUCCAUCGAGGGAUCGUCUGGAGAAGAAAAGCUCUUGACCAGACAGCGGAAUAGCUUGAGUGAAAGUGAUAUAACCAGUGUUCGUGGUGGAGUCGACAGGAGGUGCAAAUCUGACAGCGAAGUGACAACUGUUGGUACCUCGACAAGGGGUGUUGUACAGGGAAAAGAGGGAGGUCAGGAGAAAAGCUCCGUGGCAUCUAUUACCGAAGAAGUUCCUUUAAAGCCACGGAGUCUCCGGCCCAAGGCACAUUCUAUUUCUGGAGGUUCUCCAACUGUUUACACACCAUCAAGCAGUGAAUCACCAGAUGACUCGAACAUUUACAAGUUUUCACAAGGAGUCGGGGCUGAUCUGCUCGCCGUUCACGAAGAAGAUGGAGAGUAUGAAUAUGACGAUUCAACUGAUGAUGAACAUCAACGAAAAAGCAGCGUGGAAGAAGACGAACUGCCAUUGAUGGAAGAAGCACAAUAGUGUCCACUGGCAAGACUGUCACUCUAGCCAAUAUUUUAUGACACAAUAAACUGUGACGCGAGUCGCGUGACAGGGAGACCAAAACCGUCAUCAGCCAAGUCAGACACCACUUCUGUUCGUCAACGAAAGGUCUCCUUUGAUCUGGUACGUGAACAA